UGAGCACUGUCUGCGUGGCAUUUUGCCAGACACCGGGGACAGGUAAGGCCCUGCUCCCCCGGGACCCACAGAGCUCGGUGAGUUCCAAGCAGCUCACACCCCUUGCCCGGCAGUCCCUGCGCAGCAGCGGUGAUGCUCAGCCUGCCUUUCUCUGCUGCAGGGGCCCACGGCGCCACGGAGCUCACCCCUGGGAGCAGCCCUGGGCCAGUGCCGGGGGCGGGGGGAGUGGGCGGACACCCCCCCAGCUUCCUCACCCCUUGGCGGGACAGCCCUGAGGUACGUUCUGUGCCGUCUCUCAACUGAUGGCCCAGCCUCAGUUGCCCACCGAGGGGACCCACUGCAAACACACCUGCUUUGGCUUCAUUUCCUUCCGUCUCACUGUCCCUCUCCCCUCGGGCAGGUGCUGAGAUUUUACUCAACCUGCAAGCUGACGGGUGAGCCUGCCUUCUCCCCAAGGGCGUGCAGAAGACACAAGACUCCCGGCUCAGAAACAAAGAUCAGUCUAUUGUUCACAGCAGCAGCCGUGCGCGGAGGAUUGUUCCAGUGUCAUUUGCUGGGACUUGUGCCUGGGCUGUCAGUACUCUUCUUCGCUGCCUGGGGCCUGCUCUGGGGAAUGCAUCGCAAACACACCAUCAAUUCACAGUAAAUGGGCCAAAGAACGCAGGGCAUCCCCAUCCCUGGGGAGGUGACACUCCGCUGGCACAGCGUCAGACAAACCCCAACACGCACUUGUGAUGACACCAUUCGGCCCCAGGGCCAUGCGGGGAAGCUGUGAGCUCGCCUCAAAGGUCCCAGAGGAUUUGAAUGUGAACUGAGAAGGUUUUAUUUCUAUAAAAAUAUCUAACCGUUAAUAAAAAUUUCAACAAGUUAAA